AAUAAUUAUACCAAUCAACAACAGUUUGAUCGACUUGCAAUUUGAAGUUCGUGUCUCACGAAACUUUCAGUAGCUUUGUCUACCCAGAAAUAUGUUAUUAACAGAACUUUUUCCAGCGUUAAUGUGUGCUUUUCAAACCAGCUACCAGUCCUGAUGGAAAUUUUGUUGUUGCAGGUUUUGUUAGAACAUCCUCCAUACAAAUCCGUCGCUUGAAUAUGACGAAUCCUUUCUUAAUCCAAAUUUCCCGUUGUCACAGCUGCCACAGAUUUUGCCGUCCAAAUUUAUCAAAACAGAAAGCAGUGAAUCAGCUCUCUUACAUCAGCACAAAUAAAAAAAAAUUCUUUCAGUUUUAGGGGCAUUUCAUCGCAAAUCAGUUUGUUUACAUCAACACCAGUGACGUGACCAUUUUGCUCAACAACGGAUUCCAUUUAUUUUGGAACAAAAAAUCAAUUUUACUGAUCGCUAACGCGAUCGUAUAUAGACCAUUCCUGUGCGUAAUUCUUACAUAGUCGUCUCCCCUGGCCGAUAGGUAGCGUAAACAUCGGCGGCCAUUGCGGUACUGCACAACAGAUAGUCUGAUAUUUUGAAAACACCGAUUAUCAUGCCGUAUAAGCGGGGUGGAGGCAAAAUGUGUGUGAUCAUCGGUUGCCACCAUAAUCAAAAGAAGUUAUAUGACUGGAAAAAGGCGAAUUGCGAAGAACACGGCUUACUGCAUAAGGAUUGCCCUUGUCUUCAGCCAUUCUCCAUGCAGGGUCCGUGGAAUUACCGGAAACACCAGGUAAUUCCCGAAAACACCAAUAAAAGUACCGAAGAAUGUGGAAAGACGCCGAGCAUGGAUUCGUGCCAUUAAUAGAAAAGACUUUGAUCCAAAGAACAAAGACCAGGUGUGUUCUAUUCAUUUCCUUGAUGGUAGACCGACAGAGCCAAAUCCUGAUCCUGUUCUUCAUCUCGGAUACAAGAUUGAAGUUAAAUCUGGACGUCGAAAGGUCACUCGAGUGCCCUUUCUUCCAAUUUCAACAGAGUGCAACAAACCGUGUCCAACAACUGAAGAUUUCCAUACAUUUUCCAACCAAGAAUGCGAAUCAGCAGGUGAUGGACACGUAGAAUCGAAUAAUGUACAAAGUUCAAACCACUGUUCUCAGACAGAACCUGUAAUAUGCCACUUUGCUGAGGAAAAAUGUCCUUGUGUUAAAAAAAACAUGUGACUCAAGCACACAGACAGAAAAUUUUGUGACCAUUGAGCAUUGUUAUGCUAUGUUAGGACCAAAGACAAAAUGUAUUGGCAUACAACACUCUUCCCAAUUAGGUGUGGAUUUAAUUAACACUGACAGUGAAGCCAGAUUUUACACUGGUUUUACUUGUGCUGUUUUUUCCCCACUAGUUAAUACUUUAUCUGAGUUUGGAAAGAAAUUGCCAUACAGAUUGCCUAUUCCUGAUCAGAUUUUACUGACAAUAAUGCGUCUGCGUCUGGGACUAGCUUUUAAGGACUUGGGAAACAGAUUUGGUAUUUCAUUUCAACUAUGCAGUUCAAUCUUUUCCUCCUGGAUAAAUAUUAUGCACAAACAUUUGCGAAACUGUGUACUCUGGCUUCCACGAGAAUCUAUUCAAAGGACUAUGCCACAGUCAUUUAAGGAUACUUUUCCAAAAAUAACUUGUGUUAUUGAUUGUACCGAGAUAUUUAUUCAGCGUCCAUUUUCCCUUAAAGACAGAGCUCAAACCUAUAGUACCUACAAGGGGCAUAACACUGCAAAAGUUCUUGUAUCCAUACCUAGUGGAUACAUUAUGUUUAUGUCACAUGCUUAUGGUGGAAGAGCUAGUGAUAACUUUAUAACUAAGUCAUGUGGAUUUUUAAAUGUGUUACGGUCGGGCGAUGAGGUAAUGGCAGAUCGUGGUUUCACAAUUAGAGAGGACAUUUUUGUUCGUCGAGUUAAGUUGAAUAUUCCUGCUUUUACGAAGGGGCGGUUACAGCUUAGUGAAAAAGAGACUGUGGAAUCAAGACGUAUUGCUUCAGUUCGUAUCCACGUGGAAUGUGCAAUUGCCCGUCUUAAGAACUACUGAAUUUUGAACACAACAGUAGCUGUUAAAUCAUUGAAAAAAUUGGACAAAAUUAUCAGUGUUUGUGCUGCUUUGUGCAAUUUGCAUGGUGACGUAAUUAAGGAGAAUUCAAUGUACUAAAAUUUGAAUUCAAAUGAAAUUUGACCAGACAAUCCGCAUUGAAUUAAAUAAAAAAAAUACUUGUUUGAAAUCU